GGCCAGACUCCUACGGGAGGCAGCAGUGGGGAAUAUUGCACAAUGGGGGAAACCCUGAUGCAGCGACGCCGCGUGAGUGAGGAAGUAUUUCGGUAUGUAAAGCUCUAUCAGCAGGGAAGAAAAUGACGGUACCUGACUAAGAAGCCCCGGCUAACUACGUGCCAGCAGCCGCGGUAAUACGUAGGGGGCAAGCGUUAUCCGGAUUUACUGGGUGUAAAGGGAGCGUAGACGGUUAAUCAAGUCAGAAGUGAAAACCCAGGGCUCAACCUUGGGACUGCUUUUGAAACUGAGUAGCUAGAGUGCAGUAGAGGUAGGCGGAAUUCCCGGUGUAGCGGUGAAAUGCGUAGAGAUCGGGAGGAACACCAGUGGCGAAGGCGGCCUGCUGGGCGCUAACUGACGCUGAGGCACGAAAGCGUGGGUAGCAAACAGGAUUAGAUACCCGAGUACGG
rnacentral:rRNA from 1 species